rnacentral:rRNA from 1 species
AGCGAACGCUGGCGGCAGGCCUAACACAUGCAAGUCGAACGGAUCCUUCGGGAUUAGUGGCGGACGGGUGAGUAACACGUGGGAACGUGCCCUUUGGUUCGGAACAACUCAGGGAAACUCGAGCUAAUACCGGAUGUGCCCUUCGGGGGAAAGAUUUAUCGCCAUUGGAGCGGCACGCGUCGGAUUAGCUAGUUGGUUAGAUAAAGGCUCACCAAGGCUACGCUCGGUAGCUGGUCUGAGAGGAUGAUCAGCCACAUUGGGACUGAGACAGGGCACAAACUCCUACGGGCGGCAGUAGUGUUGAAUCUUGCGCAAUGUGCGAAAGCCUGACGCAGCCAUGCCGCGUGAAUGAAGAAUGUCUUAGUAUUGUAAAAUUCUUUCACCGGGGACGAUAAUGACGGUACUCGCAGAAGAAGCCCCGAAUAGCUUCGUGCCAGCCGCGCCAGUAA